GAUGAACGCUGGCGGCGUGCCUAAUACAUGCAAGUCGAGCGAACGGACGAGAAGCUUGCUUCUCUGAUGUUAGCGGCGGACGGGUGAGUAACACGUGGAUAACCUACCUAUAAGACUGGGAUAACUUCGGGAAACCGGAGCUAAUACCGGAUAAUAUUUUGAACCGCAUGGUUCAAAAGUGAAAGACGGUCUUGCUGUCACUUAUAGAUGGAUCCGCGCUGCAUUAGCUAGUUGGUAAGGUAACGGCUUACCAAGGCAACGAUGCAUAGCCGACCUGAGAGGGUGAUCGGCCACACUGGAACUGAGACACGGUCCAGACUCCUACGGGAGGCCGCAGUAGGGAAUCUUCCGCAAUGGGCGAAAGCAUGACGGAGCAACGCCGCGUGAGUGAUGAAGGUCUUCGGAUCGUAAAACUCUGUUAUUAGGGAAGAACAUAUGUGUAAGUAACUGUGCACAUCUUGACGGUACCUAAUCAGAAAGCCACGGCUAACUACGUG
rnacentral:rRNA from 1 species